AGUGAACGCUGGCGGUAGGCCUAACACAUGCAAGUCGAACGGCAGCACAGUAAGAGCUUGCUCUUACGGGUGGCGAGUGGCGGACGGGUGAGGAAUCCAUCGGAAUCUACUUUUUCGUGGGGGAUAACGUAGGGAAACUUACGCUAAUACCGCAUACGACCUACGGGUGAAAGCAGGGGAUCUUCGGACCUUGCGCGAUUGAAUGAGCCGAUGUCGGAUUAGCUAGUUGGCGGGGUAAAGGCCCACCAAGGCGACGAUCCGUAGCUGGUCUGAGAGGAUGAUCAGCCACACUGGACCUGAAACACGGUCCAGACUACUACGGGAGGCAGCAGUGGGGAAUAUUGGACAAGGGGCUCAAGCCUGAUCCAGCCAUGCCGCGUGGGUGAAGAAGGCCUUCGCGUUGUAAAGCCCUUUUGUUGGGAAAGAAAAACAGCAGGUUAAUACCCCGCUGUUCUGACGGUACCCAAAGAAUAAGCACCGGCUAACUUCGUG
rnacentral:rRNA from 1 species